rnacentral:rRNA from 1 species
AACGAACGCUGGCGGCAUGCCUAACACAUGCAAGUCGAACGAGAUCUUCGGGUCUAGUGGCGCACGGGUGCGUAACGCGUGGGAAUCUGCCCUUUGGUUCGGAAUAACAGUUGGAAACGACUGCUAAUACCGGAUGAUGACGAAAGUCUAAAGAUUUAUCGCCAGAGGAUGAGCUCGCGUAGGAUUAGCUAGUUGGUGUGGUAAAGGCGCACCAAGGCGACGAUCCUUAGCUGGUCUGAGAGGAUGAUCAGCCACACUGGGACUGAGACACGGCCCAGCCUCCUACGGGGGGCAGCAGUGGGGAAUAUUGGACAAUGGGCGAAAGCCUGAUCCAGCAAUGCCGCGUGAGUGAUGAAGGCCUUAGGGUUGUAAAGCUCUUUUACCCGGGAUGAUAAUGACAGUACCGGGGGAAUAAGCUCCGGCUAACUCCGUGCCAGCAGCCGCGGUAA